GUCCCUGUAGCGCAAUGGAUAGCGCGUUGGACUUCUAAUCCAAAGGUCGUGGGUUCGAAUCCUGCCUGGGAUG